GUAACGGUGUCUUUAGACACCACCCUUUAUCCUUAAAUUAAUUUUUU
rfam:Picea glauca, whole genome shotgun sequence.